GAUGAAGAACGUAGCGAAAUGCGAUAAGUAAUGUGAAUUGCAGAAUUCAGUGAAUCAUCGAAUCUUUGAACGCACAUUGCGCCCGCCAGUAUUCUGGCGGGCAUGCCUGUCUGAGCGUCAUUUCAACCCUCAUGCCCCUAGGGCGUGGUGUUGGGGAUCGGCCAAAGCCCGCGAGGGACGGCCGGCCCCUAAAUCUAGUGGCGGACCCGUCGUGGCCUCCUCUGCGAAGUAGUGACAUUCCGCAUCGGAGAGCGAUGAGCCCCUGCCGUUAAACCCCCAACUUUCCAAGGUUGACCUCAGAUCAGGUAGGAAUACCCGCUGAACUUAAGCAUAUCAAUAAGCGGAGGA
rnacentral:misc_RNA from 1 species